AUUGAACGCUGGCGGCAUGCUUUACACAUGCAAGUCGUACGGCAGCGCGGGCUUCGGCCUGGCGGCGAGUGGCGAACGGGUGAGUAAUGCAUCGGAACGUGCCCAGUAGUGGGGGAUAGCCCGGCGAAAGCCGGAUUAAUACCGCAUACGACCUGAGGGUGAAAGCGGGGGACCGAAAGGCCUCGCGCUAUUGGAGCGGCCGAUGUCGGAUUAGCUAGUUGGUGGGGUAAAGGCUUACCAAGGCGACGAUCCGUAGCUGGUCUGAGAGGACGACCAGCCACACUGGGACUGAGACACGGCCCAGACUCCUACGGGAGGCAGCAGUGGGGAAUUUUGGACAAUGGGGGCAACCCUGAUCCAGCCAUGCCGCGUGCGGGAAGAAGGCCUUCGGGUUGUAAACCGCUUUUGUUCGGGAAGAAAUCCUCUGGGCUAAUACCCCGGGGGGAUGACGGUACCGGAAGAAUAAGCACCGGCUAACUACGUG
rnacentral:rRNA from 1 species